rnacentral:rRNA from 1 species
AUUGAACGCUGGCGGCAGGCCUAACACAUGCAAGUCGAGCGGAUGAAGGGAGCUUGCUCCUGGAUUCAGCGGCGGACGGGUGAGUAAUGCCUAGGAAUCUGCCUGGUAGUGGGGGAUAACGUCCGGAAACGGGCGCUAAUACCGCAUACGUCCUGAGGGAGAAAGUGGGGGAUCUUCGGACCUCACGCUCUCAGAUGAGCCUAGGUCGGAUUAGCUAGUUGGUGGGGUAAAGGCCUACCUAGGCGACGAUCCGUAACUGGUCUGAGAGGAUGAUCAGUCACACUGGAACGUAGACACGGUCCAGACUCCUAAGGGAGGCAGCAGAGGGGAAUAUUGGACAAUAGGCGAAAGCCUGAUCCAGCCAGGCCGCGUGUGUGAAGAAGGUCUUCGGAGUGUAAAGAACUUUAAGUUGGGAGGAAGGGCAGUAAGUUAAUACCUAGCUGGUUUGACGUUACCAACAGAAGAAGCACCGGCUAACUUCGUG